rnacentral:tRNA from 1 species
UGGCUUAGAUGGUAAAGAAUCUGCCUUCCAUGCAGGAGACCCGGGUUUGAUCCCCGG